UACGGAGGGUGCGAGCGUUGUCCGGAAUCAUUGGGCGUAAAGGGCGCGUAGGUGGCACGAUCAGCGUGCGGUGAAAGCCCGGGGCUCAACCCCGGGAGGCGGGUGGAUACUGUCAAGCUCGAGUCCGGAAGAGGAGUGUGGAAUUCCUGGUGUAGCGGUGAAAUGCGCAGAUAUCAGGAGGAACACCAAUGGCGAAGGCAGCACUCUGGGACGUGACUGACGCUGAGACGCGAAAGCGUGGGGAGCAAAC
rnacentral:rRNA from 1 species